UACGAAGGGGGCUAGCGUUGUUCGGAUUUACUGGGCGUAAAGCGCACGUAGGCGGAUCUUUAAGUCAGAGGUGAAAUCCCGGAGCUCAACUUCGGAACUGCCUUUGAUACUGGGGAUCUCGAGUUCGGGAGAGGUGAGUGGAAUUCCCAGUGUAGAGGUGAAAUUCGUAGAUAUUGGGAAGAACACCGGUGGCGAAGGCGGCUCACUGGCUCAUUUCUGACGCUCAGGCGCGACAGCGUGGGGAUCAAACAGG
rnacentral:rRNA from 1 species